UACGUAGGGGGCAAGCGUUGUCCGGAUUUACUGGGCGUAAAGGGCGUGCAGGCGGUUUGUUAAGUGCAGGGUGAAAGCUCCCGGCUCAACUGGGAGAGGUCCUUGCAUACUGGCGAACUCGAGGGAGGCAGAGGAAAGUGGAAUUCCCGGAGUAGUGGUGAUAUGCGUAGAUAUCGGGAGGAACACCUGUGGCGAAGGCGGCUUUCUGGGCCUUACCUGACGCUGAGACGCGAAAGCGUGGGGAGCGAACCGG
rnacentral:rRNA from 1 species